rnacentral:rRNA from 1 species
UACAGAGGUCCCAAGCGUUGUUCGGAUUUACUGGGCGUAAAGCGCGUGUAGGUGGUUGCGCAAGUUGGUUGUGAAAUCUCCCGGCUCAACCGGGAAACUGCAGCCAAUACUGCGUGGCUAGAGUGGCAGAGAGGAAAGUGGAAUUCCCGGUGUAGUAGUGAAAUGCGUAGAUAUCGGGAGGAACACCAGCGGCGAAGGCGACUUUCUGGCUGCCAACUGACACUGAGACGCGAAAGCUAGGGGAGCGAACGGG